rnacentral:rRNA from 1 species
GACGAACGCUGGCGGCGUGCUUAACACAUGCAAGUCGAACGGAAAGGCCCUGCUUUUGUGGGGUGCUCGAGUGGCGAACGGGUGAGUAACACGUGAGUAACCUGCCCUUGACUUUGGGAUAACUUCAGGAAACUGGGGCUAAUACCGGAUAGGAGCUCCUGCUGCAUGGUGGGGGUUGGAAAGUUUCGGCGGUUGGGGAUGGACUCGCGGCUUAUCAGCUUGUUGGUAGGGUAGUGGCUUACCGAGGCUUUGACGGGUAGCCGGCCUGAGAGGGUGACCGGCCACAUUGGGACUGAGAUACGGCCCAGACUCCUACGGGAGGCAGCAGUGGGGAAUAUUGCACAAUGGGCGGAAGCCUGAUGCAGCAACGCCGCGUGCGGGAUGACGGCCUUCGGGUUGUAAACCGCUUUCGCCUGUGACGAAGCGUGAGUGACGGUAAUGGGUAAAGAAGCACCGGCUAACUACGUG